ACCCAAUAGAUACCCAGGUAGUCCACGCCGUAAACGAUGAGUGCUAGACGUCGGGAAGCUUGCUUUUCGGUGUCGACGCUAAACGCAUUAAGCACUCCGCCUGGGGAGUACGGCCGCAAGGUUAAAACUCAAAGGAAUUGACGGGGGCCCCACAAGCGGUGGAGCAUGUGGUUUAAUUCGAAAGCAACGCGAAGAACCUUACCAGCCCUUGACAUGGAACGUAUGGGCCCGAGAGAUCGGGUCCUUCGGGUUAAGCCGGCGUUCACACAGGUGCUGCAUGGCUGUCGUCAGCUCGUGUCGUGAGAUGUUGGGUUAAGUCCCGCAACGAGCGCAACCCUCAUCUUCAGUUGCCAUCGGGUUAAGCCGGGCACUCUGGAGAAACUGCCGGUGACAAGCCGGAGGAAGGCGGGGAUGACGUCAAGUCCUCAUGGCCCUUACGGGCUGGGCUACACACGUGCUACAAUGGCGGUGACAAUGGGCGGCGAUGGGGCGACCCCUAGCCAAUCCCAAAAACGCCGUCUCAGUUCGGAUUGUACUCUGCAACUCGAGU
rnacentral:rRNA from 1 species